rnacentral:rRNA from 1 species
UACAGAGGGUGCGAGCGUUAAUCGGAAUUACUGGGCGUAAAGCGCGCGUAGGCGGCUUUGCAAGUCGGGUGUGAAAUCCCCAGGCUUAACCUGGGAACUGCAUUUGUGACUGCAUCGCUAGAGUACGGCAGAGGGGGAUGGAAUUCCGCGUGUAGCAGUGAAAUGCGUAGAUAUGCGGAGGAACACCGAUGGCGAAGGCAAUCCCCUGGGCCUGUACUGACGCUCAUGCACGAAAGCGUGGGAGCAAACAGG